rnacentral:lncRNA from 1 species
CCUACUAGUGUUUAUUGCUAUUUGUGUAAUUCACAAGGAUUGUGCUUUCCCAGUAUCUAUUAUGGACCAUUGGAUGGAAUAGAUGGUCGGGAUUUAAACUUAAUAGAUAUUUUGUUGCCUUGGCUUGUUAAAGAAGUUUUGGAUCAUUUACCAAACAUAUGACUUACCCCACGUUUUUUGUAAGAGAGGGUAGUGUCUUUAGGUGGUGGGGGGUUAUUUCAAAAGGAGGAUGAUCUUUAUUUUCUCUCUGCUCGAUAGAAAACUCUCCUCCAUUUUUGAUUCCUUAAGGUGGCGGUCUGAAGGGGUUCUUUGCCGAUUUUCUCUCUCUCUCUUGGAAGGUGAUUUGCAAGUCUUGGAGGGCUGUUCCUGAGCCUGUAAAAUCAGCCAUAAGGAGGAAAAGAAGCUGCUGAAAGGAGGAAGCAGAAGCUGUCCAAAUUCGGCCAUAUGGGUUGUGUUAUUUCCGGUUUCGUAUUUUCUUGGUUUUGCCUUAGAAUUUCUUCUAUUGAUUGAUGUUUUGGUUGAUUGAACUCCUAGGAUCCCCAACAAACUGGUAUCAGAGCUAGGAGGAGUGAAAUCUGUCCAAAAAUCCAUCAAAACCGGCAAGGAAAUCGCUACUCCAUUUUCUGACCGAAUCUGAAAAAUUCAUAUUCCGGCCAAACUAUUGACUUUCCGGUGAAAUGGAACCUGGACCCAUAACCAGCAGACUGAGGCACUCC